AAAUUGUUGACCCGGUCAAAGUCGAAUGACACGAUUCUAAAUUGAGUAUCUCAAUUAAUUGUGAGACUUGAAAAUAAAAAGACAUAGCGUACAGUAUAAAAGAAUGGCGACUGAUAGGCGCUGGUGCACCGGCCCAAAUUUGGGCCGGUCGCACCAGGAGCGUUCGAUUAAAUAACUAUUAGCCGAACGAUUGUCUUCUUUCCUCCCCACACGUCUUCUUUCAGAAAAAAAAUCCUCAUUGCGCCGCCAUUAAGGAGCGACGCACCCGGCCUCGAAGCACCGCUCGCGUGAUUCUCGCCUGUCGCUGCCCUCGUCGCUGGUCGCCGUCGCCGUCCUCGUCGCCGGUUGCUACCGGCCGUCGUCGUCGUUGUUGGUCGCCGUCGCCGGCUUCGUGCAUGUAGCAUCUUGCGCCCGCGGUUGCAGCUCCCCAUGACGACGGACGCAGCUCUGAUGGCAGCCGGCCAUCCUCGUCGCCGGUUGCAUCACCGUCGGGCCAUGGUCACCACCGUCGUAGGAUGGCCGCCACUGGUUGCAGCAAAUCAGUCGCCGGUGGGUAGCUUUCCCGGUGCCGGUUGCAACAAAAAUCGCAGCACAAAAAUCAUGUAGCAAUUGAGAACGCUGAUAGUAGCAGAAUUCAAAACAUUGGCAGCGAAAAAGAGUGGUGGAAUUUUCACCAACAAAGACAUGGUAGCAAUUUUUUUUGUCGGUUCCAGCAAAACCAGAAGAUGGUGGUAGCAAAAAUUGGUACACAUACACUAAACAAAAAAUAUGGUAGCAAAAUUUUGGAUUGGUUCCAACAAAAAUCGAAGACGGUGGAAGCAAAAAAUUGAUACACUGGUUCCAGCAAAAAGAAACAAACGUGGAAGCAAAAUAGGAUUGGUUGGUUCCAACCAAAAAAGAGACGAUGGCAGCAAAAUUUGAGGCUGCUUCCAGCAAAAUCCGAAGAUGGUGGAAGCAAAAAAUUGGUACACUGGUUCCAGCAAAAAAGAGACAAAUGUGGUAGCAAAAAGGGAUUGGUUGGGUCCCGAAAAAAAAAGACGAUGGCAACAAAAUUUCAGGCUGCUUCUAGCAAAAUGGUAAAACGCCAGAUCUUCAUCACUUGUCGCCGGGGUUCGAAUGUCCCCAACGCCGGCCGCCGCCGGUCUCCGACACUUGUCACCAUCGCGCCAGCAUCAUAUCGAUGGGCGCGUUGGUUUGCAUCACUUGUUCCCGGUGAGGAGAAAGGGGGUGGGGGCAGCCACGGCCACCGCGGGAUAGAAAAGAGAAAAAAGUGGCCGGUGGCCAUGGCGGCCGGCGUAGCUUGUCGCCGGUGAGAUACGGCGAGCAUCUACAGAGAAGAAGAGGGGGGAGAGCGGAGCUUGCGGUGCAGAGGAGAUGUUCGCGAGCAGAAGAAUGAGUGGAUCUCGUUCACCCGUGAAGAGAUAAGGUAAAAAGACUAGGCGGCCGUUCGGUGAUGGACCCACGUGUAGACGAACGAGUUGCGGAGUGCGCGCUGUGACCGGCCGAAACUCGG
rnacentral:rRNA from 1 species